AGGGGCAAUGGUGCUGGGCACCCCGCGGACUUCAAAUCCGUCGGCCUCGUCUAAACAACGAGGAGGAGGUUCGAUUCCCCUUGCCCCUUCCA
rnacentral:tRNA from 1 species